rnacentral:rRNA from 1 species
AUGAGGGCAUGGAACUGCGUGGUGACGGCGCACAAGCCCACUGCCGUCUCCCACUCCUGCGUCGGCAACUUCACCGCGCCCCACCAACUCAACCUCAUCGUCGCGAAAUGUAACCAUAUCGAGAUUUAUAUGUUUACUCCUCAGGGCCUUCAGCUUAUGCUCGACGUACCUUUGUAUGGAACAAUUGCAACACUUGAGCUCUACCGUUCUAGUAGUGAAACUCAAGAUUUUCUUUUCAUUGGUAUGGAAAGAUAUAGAUAUUGUGUUCUUCAGUGGGAUGGAAGAAAGUCAGAACUUCUUACAAGAUCUGAGGGAGAUGCUUCUGAAUUUUUGGGGCGCCCUACUGACAAUGGACAGAUUGGAAUUAUUGAUCGUCACUAUCGACUGAUUGCUCUUCACCUAUAUGAUGGCUUAUUUAAGGUUAUACCAUUUGACAACAAAGGACACCUGAAGGAAGCAUUGAACAUCAGGCUUGAAGAACUUGUAGUGUUGGACAUCAAGUUUCUUUAUCGUUGUGAAAACCCUACAGUAGUGGUUCUUUACCAGGACAACAAGGAUGCCAGACAUGUUAAGACGUACGAAAUUGAGUUGGAGGACAAAAAGUUUGUUGAAGGUUCUUGGUCUCAGAACAAUUUAGACCACAGUGCUCGUCUGUUAAUACCUGUACCACUGGGUGGUGUCAUAAUAGUUGGUGAGGACACAAUAGUUUACUGCAGUUCCGAAACUACUAAAUCUCUAUCUAUAAAGCAAUCUAUCAUUAGAGCUGUUGGGCGGGUUGACCAGUGCGGUUCUCGCUAUUUAUAUGGAGACAACACUGGUGCUCUGCAUUUGCUUACAAUUACCCAUGAAUCGGGAAGAGUGACUGGUUUAAAAAGUCACUUCAUUGGGGAGACGUCAAUUGCCUCAACAAUAUCAUAUGUUGGCAGUGGUUUCUUUUAUGUUGGUUCACAAUUUGGGGACUCACAGCUUCUAAAAUUGAAUACUCAAGCUGAUGCUAGAGGUUCAUUUGUUGAAAUUCUCGAACAAUAUAUAAACAUUGGACCAAUUGUAGACUUGUGUGUGGUUGAUUUUGAAAGGCAAGGGCAAGGUCAGGUGAUUACUUGUUCGGGUGCACACAAGGAUGGUUCAAUUCGGACAAUUCGUAAUGAAAUAGUAAUUACUGACCAGGCUUCAUUACAACUCCAUGGCAUGAAAGGACUAUGGUCUUUAAAAUGUUCAUCGAAUGAUCCAUAUGACACAUUCUUGGUUGUGACAUUUAUAAACGAGACACGCUUCUUGGCAAUCAAUAAGGAAAACAAAUUGGUAGAAACACCUAUAGAAGGAUUUGAUUCAGAAACACAGACUCUGGUCUGCGGAAGUGCCAUCCACAAUCAGCUUAUACAGGUUACUGCACAGUCUGUCAGAUUAGUCAGCUCUACUUCUCGAGAUUUACUGGAUCAAUGGUUUGCACCAACAGGAUUUCCAGUCAAUGUUGCAGCAGCUAAUGCGUGCCAGGUUUUGUUGGCAACUGGUGGUUUCCAUCUCAUCUACCUAGAAAUUACCAACUCUAAGUUGGUGGAAGUGAAGCAUGUAGAGCUUGAGCAUGCAAUUUCUUGUCUUGACAUAAACCCAAUCGGUGAGAAUCUACAAUAUAGCUCCCUUGCAGCUGUUGGGAUGUGGACAGAUACAAGUGUGAGGAUAUUUUCACUCCCUGGCAUUGUACUAAUUAGGAAGGAGAAUUUGGGUGAAGAUGUUCCUCGUUCUGUUCUGCUGUGUACUAUUGAAGAGGUGUCGUACUUGUUCUGUGCUCUUGGAGAUGGUCACCUCUUUAGUUCUGUGUUGAACAUAAAUACAUGUGAACUAUCAGAUAGAAGCAGGGUCUCCUUGGGGACACAACCAAUCAGCCUCUAUAAAUUCUCAUCUCAUGAUAGAACUCAUGUGUUGGCUGCAUCAGAUAGGCCAACUAUCAUAUGCAGCAGUGACAAGAAGUUACUCUAUAGUUAUGUCAACUUGAAAGAAAUGAACCACGUGUGCCCUUUUAAUACAGUUAUUUUUUCCAGAAAGGUCCCUCCCUCCCUCAUGUUGUGCACCAUUGCGAUAGCUAAAGAAGCUGAACUUUCAAUUGGUGCAAUUAAUUACUCCAGAAAGCGUCAUAUCCACACAAUCCCCUUGAAUGAACAUGCACGCCGCAUCUGUCACCAGGAACAAUCUCAAACACUUGCACUCUGCAGUUUCAAGAACAAGUACAUGCAUGGAGUGAGCGAGACACAUUUUGUUCGUCUAUUAGACCAUCAGACUUUUGGGAUUUUAUCAACACAUACUCUUGAUGCUUUUGAAUGUGGUUGCUCAAUCAUCAGUUGUUCAUUUUCUGGUGAUGAUAAUUUCUACUAUUGUGUGGGAACAGCAUAUGUUUUGCCCAUGGAAGAUGAACCCACAAAGGGGCGGAUCCUGCUUUUUUUAGUUAAAGAAGGGAAGUUACAACUAAUCAAAGCGAAGGAAACCAAAGGAGCUGUUUAUUCGCUUAAAUCAUUCAAUGGGAAAUUAUUGGCUGCUAUUAAUCUGAAGAUCAGAUUGUACAAGUGGAUGCAGCGAAAUGAUAGGUCACGUGUACUACAAUUUGAGUGUGCCCAUGAUGGCCACGUAUUAUCUUUGUAUACUCAAACACGUGGUGAUUUCAUCUUGGUUGGAGACAUGAUGAGAUCAUUAUCGUUGCUGAUAUACAAGCACGAAGAAGGCAAGAUUGAAGAGGUGGCUAGGGAUUUAAACACAAACUGGAUGACUGCAGUUGAGAUGCUGGAUGAUGAUAUUUAUAUUGGUGCAGACAAUUGCUGUAACCUGUUUACCGUGUUCAAGUCCCCAUAUGGGUUCCUUGAGCCCGUUGGGGAGUACCAUCUGGGGGACGUGGUGAAUAGGUUGCAUCACGGUUCUCUGGUUAUGCACCACGCAGAUUCGGGGACAGGCCAGUUUCCUUCAGUCAUCUUUGGCACGGUCAAUGGCGCCAUCGGUGUGAUUGCCUCCCUUCCAUAUGACCUAUAUGCGUUCCUAGAGAAGCCGCAGUCCGUUCUUGUGAAUUUCGUCAAGGGUGUUGGUAACCUUAGCCAUGCAGAAUGGCGGUCAUUCUGUAACGCCAGGAGGACCAGUUCUGCCCGGAACUUCGUGGAUGGUGAUCUGAUUGAAUCUUUCUUCAGUCUGAGCCCAAGCCAGAUGGUGGAGGUUGCGUGCGCGAUGGGUGUCCCUCCGGUUGAGCUGUAUAAGCAAGUGCAGGAGUUGACCAAUCUACACUAG